AUUGAACGCUGGCGGCAGGCCUAACACAUGCAAGUAGAGCGGAGCGGCGGACGGGGGAGUAAUGCCUAGGAAUAGGCCUGGUAGAGGGAGAGGAAGUACGGAAACGGGCGCUAAUAACUGAUAUUAUACAUUGAGGCGAGGUCGGAUUAGCUAGUUGGUGGGGUAAAGGCCUACCAAGGGGACGAUCGGUAACUGGUCUGAGAGGAUGAUCAGUCACACUGGAACUGAGACACGGUCCAGACUCCUACGGGAGGCAGCAGUGGGGAAUAUUGGACAAUGGGCGAAAGCCUGAUCCAGCCAUGCCGCGUGUGUGAAGAAGGUCUUCGGAUUGUAAAGCACUUUAAGUUGGGAGGCGUUACCAACAGAAUAAGCACCGGCUAACUUCGUGCCAGCAGCCGCGGUAAUAC
rnacentral:rRNA from 1 species